rnacentral:misc_RNA from 1 species
GAUGAAGAACGCAGUGAAAUGCGAUAAGUAAUGUGAAUUGCAGAAUUCAGUGAAUCAUCGAAUCUUUGAACGCACAUUGCGCCCCCUGGUAUUCCGGGGGGCAUGCCUGUUCGAGCGUCAUUUCACCACUCAAGCCUCGCUUGGUAUUGGGCAUCGCGGUCCGCCGCGUGCCUCAAAUCGACCGGCUGGGUCUUCUGUCCCCUAAGCGUUGUGGAAACUAUUCGCUAAGGGUGUUCGGGAGGCUACGCCGUAAAACAACCCCAUUUCUAAGGUUGACCUCGGAUCAGGUAGGGAUACCCGCUGAACUUAAGCAUAUCAAUAAGCGGAGGA